CCUCAGAGUCACGGCGACGGAUGCUUACCACUUCAGCUGCUCGUGUCCCCACUGCACCAGUACAGUAUAUGUGGAACUCGGAACGGCCUCUCAGCCACCCUCAUUCUCACAGAUUUUGAUAACGGCAUUUUGCAAUUUCUGUACAGUUUACGGAAGGACAUCUGCCAAACACAGUUCCCUCCAAGAAUCUGACAUUUUCACGACAGUCGUAGCAACUUUUACUAGCAAUGACAGCAGACCCUGUUUGACUGCACCCUCUCCGGCUCUGAUGAAAGAGAUUUCAUUGGAAUCCACCAUGUGAUGUGCACCAUCCUCCAAGACAAAUCGCACUCCAGAGAUUUUAUGAGCUGUAAGAGGACCCUUUUCACAGGCUUCAAGAAAACCCUGUAAAAAGAACAUGCAACUUUAUGACAUUUGAAACACACAGAUACCAGAGGAGGUCUAAACCCAGAAUAAUGCCUGCUAACUGUUAAACCCAAUGCAGAAGAUAAAGAAAAGUCACACAGUUGGUGAGAACCUAAUACAGGUGUCUCCCGUUCUUCGAAUCUUCGAUUUACAACACCUCUCUGUUACAAAAGACCUACAUUAGUUACCUGUUUUC